ensembl:rRNA 5S_rRNA 5S ribosomal RNA
GUCUACGCCCAUACCACCCUGAAUGCGCCUGAUCUCAUCUGAUCUCGGAAGCUAGGCAGGGUCAGGCCUGGUUAGUACUUGGAUGGGAUUCCACCUUCUUUAUAUUUCCAGAACCAGCCU